UACGAAGGGGGCUAGCGUUGCUCGGAAUCACUGGGCGUAAAGCGCACGUAGGCGGAUCUUUAAGUCAGUGGUGAAAGCCUGGAGCUCAACUCCAGAACUGCCAUUGAAACUGUUAGACUUGAGUACGAGAGAGGUGAGUGGAAUUCCCAGUGUAGAGGUGAAAUUCGUAGAUAUUGGGAAGAACACCAGUGGCGAAGGCGGCUCACUGGCUCGUAACUGACGCUCAGGCGCGACAGCGUGGGGAUCAAACAGG
rnacentral:rRNA from 1 species